rnacentral:rRNA from 1 species
AAUAUUGGAAAAUGGGCGAAAGCCUUAUCCAGCCAUGCCGAGUGUGUGAAGAAGGUUUUCGGAUUUUAAAGCACUUUAAGUUGGGAGGACGUGUUGUAGGCUGUUACCUUGCAAGUUUGCCGUUACUAAAAGAAUAAGCCACGGCUAAAUUCGUGCCAGCAGCAGGGGUAAUACAGAGGGUGCAAGCGUUAAUCGGAAUUACUGUGUGGAAAGCACGCGUAGGUGGUUCAGUAAGAUGGGAGUGAAAUCCCCGGGCUUAACCUGGGAACUGCUUUCAUAACUGCUGGGCUAGAGUACGGUAGAGGGGAGUAGAAUUUCCUGUGUAGCGGUGAAAUGCGUAGAUAUAGGAAGGAACACCAGUGGCGAAGGCGACUACCUGGACUGAUACUGACACUGAGGUGCGAAAGCGUGGGGAGCAAACAGG